rnacentral:rRNA from 1 species
CGAUGGAGGGGGAUAACUACUGGAAACGGUAGCUAUACCGCAUAACGUCGCAAGACCAAAGAGGGGGACCUUCGGGCCUCUUGCCAUCGGAUGUGCCCAGAUGGGAUUAGCUAGUAGGUGGGGUAACGGCUCACCUAGGCGACGAUCCCUAGCUGGUCUGAGAGGAUGACCAGCCACACUGGAACUGAGACACGGUCCAG